rnacentral:tRNA from 1 species
UGUUCUGUAGCUUAGUUGGUUAAAGCGCCGGUCUAGCGUACACGGAGUCGUGAGUUCGAGUCUCACUAGUACGC